CAAAAGCGUAUAUUAAAGUUGUUGCAGUUAAAAAGCUCGUAGUUGGAUUUGUGGCGUACGGUGUGUUCCGGGCACUUGUUGUCUGAGUAACCUGCUGUUGCCAUCCUUGGGUGGAACCUGUGUGGCAUUAGGUUGUCGUGCAGGGGAUGCCCAUCAUUUACUGUGAAAAAAUUAGAGUGUUCAAAGCAGGCUUAUGCCGUUGAAUAUAUUAGCAUGGAAUAAUGAGAUAGGACUUUUUUGCUAUUUUGUUGGUUUGCGCAAAGAGGUAAUGAUUAAUAGGGACAGUUGGGGGUAUUCGUAUUCCAUUGUCAGAGGUGAAAUUCUUGGAUUUUUGGAAGACGAACUACUGCGAAAGCAUUUACCAAGGAUGUUUUCAUUAA
rnacentral:rRNA from 1 species